AUUGAACGCUGGCGGCAGGCCUAACACAUGCAAGUCGAGCGGGUGAAGGGAGCUUGCUCCCUGAUUCAGCGGCGGACGGGUGAGUAAUGCCUAGGAAUCUGCCUGGUAGUGGGGGACAACGUCUCGAAAGGGACGCUAAUACCGCAUACGUCCUACGGGAGAAAGUGGGGGAUCUUCGGACCUCACGCUAUCAGAUGAGCCUAGGUCGGAUUAGCUAGUUGGUGAGGUAAAGGCUCACCAAGGCGACGAUCCGUAACUGGUCUGAGAGGAUGAUCAGUCACACUGGAACUGAGACACGGUCCAGACUCCUACGGGAGGCAGCAGUGGGGAAUAUUGGACAAUGGGCGAAAGCCUGAUCCAGCCAUGCCGCGUGUGUGAAGAAGGUCUUCGGAUUGUAAAGCACUUUAAGUUGGGAGGAAGGGUUGCUGAUUAAUACUCUGCAAUUUUGACGUUACCGACAGAAUAAGCACCGGCUAACUCUGUGCCAGCCGCCGCCGUAACAC
rnacentral:rRNA from 1 species